rnacentral:rRNA from 1 species
GAGUUUGAUCCUGGCUCAGAAUGAACGCUGGCGGCGCGGAUUAGGCAUGCAAGUCGGACGGGCAUAGCAAUAUGUCAGUGGCGACCUGGUUAGUACAAGUUGGGUAACCUGCCGGAAAGUGGGGAACAACCUCUCGAAAGAGGGGCUAAUACCGCAUGUGGUCACGGGGUCUUAGGAACCUGUGACGAAAGCAGCGAUGCGCUUUCCGAUGGGCCCGACCACCAUUAGCUUGUUGGUAGGGUAAUGGCCUACCAAGGCGACGAUGGUUAGCUGGCCUGAGAGGGUGGUCAGCAACACGAGGACUGAGAUACGGCCUCGACUCCUACGGGGGGCAGCAGUCUAGAGGCUUCGGCAAUGGACGAAAGUCUGACCGAGCGACGCCGCGUGGAGGAUGAAGGUCUUCGGAUUGUAAACUCCUUUCGGCUGGAAGGAAAGGGUAGGUGGCGAACUUACCUGUGACCGACCGGCGGAAGAAGCCCCGGCUAACUUCGUGCCAGCAGCCGCGGUAAUACGAAGGGGGCAAGCGUUAUUCGGAUUUAUUGGGCGUAAAGGGCGUGUAGGUGGCUUGAAAAGUCUGGUGUGAAAACGCUACCGCUCAACGGAGCGAAUGCGCUGGAUACUUUCAAACUUGAGUUCGAGAGAGGCAGGCAGAAUACCUGGUGUAGCGGUGGAAUGCUUAGAGAUCAGGUAGAAUACCCGAGGCGAAGGCGGCCUGCUGGCUCGUAACUGACACUGAGGCGCGAAAGCGUGGGGAUCAAACGGGAUUAGAUACCCCGGUAGUCCACGCUGUAAACGGUGAAUACUAGGUGUAGGGGGUACCCAUUCCCUCUGUGCCGUCGUUAACACAGUAAGUAUUCCGCCUGGGAAGUACGGCCGCAAGGUUGAAACUCAAAGGAAUUGACGGGGGCCCGCACAAGCGGUGGAGCAUGUGGUUUAAUUCGACGCAACGCGAAGAACCUUACCUGGGCUCGAAAUGCAGCUUACAGAGGAUGAAAGUCCUUGCCCUUCGGGGGUGCUGCAUAGGUGCUGCAUGGCUGUCGUCAGCUCGUGUCGUGAGAUGUUGGGUUAAGUCCCGCAACGAGCGCAACCCCCGUCCUUAGUUGCCAGCACGUAAUGGUGGGGACUCUAGGGAGACUGCCCCGGAUAACGGGGAGGAAGGUGGGGAUGACGUCAAGCCAUCAUGGCCCUUACGUCCAGGGCUACACACGUGCUACAAUGGCUGAGACAAUGCGCCGCCACUUGGCGACAAGGAGCGAAUCGCAUAAACUCGGUCCCAGUUCAGAUUGGAGGCUGCAACCCGCCUCCAUGAAGAUGGAAUCGCUAGUAAUCGCAGAUCAGCUACGCUGCGGUGAAUAUGUUCCUGGGCCUUGUACACACCGCCCGUCACGUCACGAAAGUUGGUUGUACCAGAAGUCGCUGUAGGAACCGCAAGGACCAAGGCGCCGAAGGUAUGACUAGUAAUUGGGACGAAGUCGUAACAAGGUA